rnacentral:rRNA from 1 species
AGUGAACGCUGGCGGUAGGCCUAACACAUGCAAGUCGAACGGCAGCACAGGAGAGCUUGCUCUCUGGGUGGCGAGUGGCGGACGGGUGAGGAAUACAUCGGAAUCUACUUUUUCGUGGGGGAUAACGUAGGGAAACUUACGCUAAUACCGCAUACGACCUACGGGUGAAAGCAGGGGACCUUCGGACCUUGCGCGAAUGAAUGAGCCGAUGUCGGAUUAGCUAGUUGGCGGGGUAAAGGCCCACCAAGGCGACGAUCCGUAGCUGGUCUGAGAGGAUGAUCAGCCACACUGGAACUGAGACACGGUCCAGACUCCUACGGGAGGCAGCAGUGGGGAAUAUUGGACAAUGGGCGCAAGCCUGAUCCAGCCAUACCGCGUGGGUGAAGAAGGCCUUCGGGUUGUAAAGCCCUUUUGUUGGGAAAGAAAUCCAGCUGGUUAAUACCCGGUUGGGAUGACGGUACCCAAAGAAUAAGCACCGGCUAACUUCGUGCCAGCCGCCGCGGUAA